rnacentral:rRNA from 1 species
AGUGAACGCUGGCGGUAGGCCUAACACAUGCAAGUCGAACGGCAGCACAGUAAGAGCUUGCUCUUACGGGUGGCGAGUGGCGGACGGGUGAGGAAUACAUCGGAAUCUACUUUUUCGUGGGGGAUAACGUAGGGAAACUUACGCUAAUACCGCAUACGACCUACGGGUGAAAGCAGGGGAUCUUCGGACCUUGCGCGAUUGAAUGAGCCGAUGUCGGAUUAGCUAGUUGGCGGGGUAAAGGCCCACCAAGGCGACGAUCCGUAGCUGGUCUGAGAGGAUGAUCAGCCACACUGGAACUGAGACACGGUCCAGACUCCUACGGGAGGAAACAGUGGGGAAUAUUGGACAAUGGGCGCAAGCCUGAUCCAGCCAUACCGCGUGGGUGAAGAAGGCCUUCGGGUUGUAAAGCCCUUUUGUUGGGAAAGAAAAGCAGCAGGUCAAUAACCCGCUGUUCUGACGGUACCCAAAGGAUAAGCACCGGCUAACUUCGUG